rnacentral:tRNA from 1 species
UGUUCAAAGUCCCUCUAUCCCCA